UCUGCCCACUGAAAUUUUUAAUGGCCGCAGUAAUUUGACUGUGCAAAGGUAGCAUAAUCAUUAGUUUUUUAAUUAAAAGCUUGUAUGAAUGAUUGGACGAGGUAAAUUCUGUCUUUAUUUAAAUAAUAUUAGAAUUUAAUUUUUAAGUUAAAAAGCUUAAAUAAUUAUAAAAGACGAGAAGACCCUAUAGAUCUUUAUAUUAUUAUUUUAUAAUUUUAAUUAGGAAUUUUUAAUUUUUUAUAUAAUAUAGUAUUUUAUUGGGGUAAUAAAAAGAUUAAAAAAAUUCUUUUUAAUUUUUUACAUUAAUUUAUGAAUUUAUGAUCCAAAAUUUUUGAUUAUAAGAUUAAGUUACCUUAGGGAUAACAGCGUAAUUUUUUUAGAGAGUUCAUAUCGAUAAAAAAGUUUGCGACCUCGAUGUUGGAUUAAAAAUUGUUUUAGGCGCAGAAGUUUAAAAAUUUGGUCUGUUCGACCAUUAAAUUUUUACAUGAUCUGAGUUCAGACCGGUGUAAGCCAGGUCGGUUUCUAUCUUUAUUAUUUUAUAAUAUUUUAGUACGAAAGGACCAAAUAUUAAAUAUAUUAAUAUUUUUAUUUUUGAAUAUUAUU
rnacentral:rRNA from 1 species